CUUGGUCCACCGCCGUCUUCCCCUGUUGAUAAACAACGAGGAUUGGAGAUUAACUCAACGUCAAUCUGUAGAUCAUUCAACAAAAAGAUGAAGCUGACCAGAUCUGUGUGUCCGUUCUGGGCAGCUAGAUGUAAAGCAGAACAACCGCCAGAGUCUCUCACCAACAAGCUGACUCCUCGACGUACACUAUCCGUCAGCUGGACAGAAAAUAUGCCACAAUCAGGUUCAACCACCAGAUCUGGCAUCCCAGCCGACGACGCCUGGCUCCCCACUGGUCCCUCAUGGUCCAGGAUGAAAACCUCGUCCUGAC